rnacentral:snoRNA from 1 species
GCUGGUGUGAGUGAUGACCUUUUUUUCCCCGUCAGAGCGACAAUGUUGAUUUCUCGCUGCUCAGGCCAGAUCGUGUCUGAUGCACCAGC